rnacentral:rRNA from 1 species
GACGAACGCUGGCGGCGUGCCUAAUACAUGCAAGUCGAACGCUUCUUUCCUCCCGAGUGCUUGCACUCAAUUGGAAAGAGGAGUGGCGGACGGGUGAGUAACACGUGGGUAACCUACCCAUCAGAGGGGGAUAACACUUGGAAACAGGUGCUAAUACCGCAUAACAGUUUAUGCCGCAUGGCAUAAGAGUGAAAGGCGCUUUCGGGUGUCGUUGAUGGAUGGACCCGCGGUGCAUUAGCUAGUUGGUGAGGUAACGGCUCACCAAGGCCACGAUGCAUAGCCGACCUGAGAGGGUGAUCGGCCACACUGGAACUGAGACACGGCCCAGACUCCUACGGGAGGCAGCAGUAGGGAAUCUUCGGCAAUGGACGAAAGUCUGACCGAGCAACGCCGCGUGAGUGAAGAAGGUUUUCGGAUCGUAAAACUCUGUUGUUAGAGAAGAACAAGGACGUUAGUAACUGAACGUCCCCUGACGGUACCUAACCAGAAAGCCACGGCUAACUACGUG